rnacentral:lncRNA from 1 species
UGAGUUUGACCGGCAUCAUUUUCCUUCUGAAGAGUUUAGCAUUUCUUGCAAGACCAUCCUAUUACAAACCUGCCAGCCUACAGACUAGAAAAACGCGCUGACCCAAGAGAAAGCAAAAAGCAAAAAACGACCCCACCCCCCUCCAGCGCUGCUCGGCCAGGCUUCACUUUUAAAGGCGAGCAUCAUUGGUUCAUGCGCCACAGGAAAUGGAGCCAUCACAGGAAGGGCCAAAAACACCUGUCUUCUCAUCCCUCUUCUCACUUUUCACUUCAAAGGCACGCACCUCAUCA